AUCUUGGGCUCUAGGUAGGUU
rnacentral:miRNA from 1 species